AGUCAAUAGAUACCCUGGUAGUCCACGCCGUAAACGAUGAGUACUAGGUGUAGGAGGUAUCGACUCCUUCUGUGCCGCAGUUAACACAAUAAGUACUCCGCCUGGGAAGUACGGUCGCAAGAUUAAAACUCAAAGGAAUUGACGGGGGCCCGCACAAGCAGCGGAGCAUGUGGUUUAAUUCGAAGCAACGCGAAGAACCUUACCUAGACUUGACAUCUCCUGAAUAGUGUAGAGAUACAUGAAGCCCUUCGGGGCAGGAAGACAGGUGGUGCAUGGUUGUCGUCAGCUCGUGUCGUGAGAUGUUGGGUUAACGUCCCGCAACGAGCGCAACCCUUAUUACUAGUUGCUACCAUUAAGUUGAGCACUCUAGUGAGACUGCCCGGGUUAA
rnacentral:rRNA from 1 species